AUACGGAGGGGACAAGCGUUAUUCGGAAUCACUGGGCGUAAAGGACGCGUAGGCGGGUUAUUAAGUCGGGUGUGAAAUCCAAUGGCUCAACCAUUGAACUGCAUUCGAAACUGAUAACCUAGAGUAUGGAAGGGGCAGGUGGAAUUAGUGGUGUAGGGGUAAAAUCCGUAGAUAUCACUAGGAGUACCGAAAGCGAAGGCGACCUGCUGGGACAUUACUGACGCUGAGGCGUGAAAGCGUGGGGAGCAAACAGGAUUAGAAACCCCGGUAGUCC
rnacentral:rRNA from 1 species